CUGCAGCUCAAGUGGUGACCACUAUUAUUGGGCCUAAAACGUUCGUAGCCGGUUUAGUAAAUGCCUGGGUAAAUCGAGCCGCUUAACGGUUCGACUUCCGGGUAGUCUGCUAAACUUGAGACCGGGAGAGGUUAGAGGUACUCCUGGGGUAGAGGUGAAAUUCUGUAAUCCUGGGGGGACCACCAGUGGCGAAGGCGUCUAACCAGAACGGGUCUGACGGUGAGGGACGAAGCCCUGGGGCGCAAACCGGAUUAGAUACCCGAGUAGUCC
rnacentral:rRNA from 1 species